rnacentral:rRNA from 1 species
UGGGGAAUAUUGGACAAUGGGCGCAAGCCUGAUCCAGCAAUGCCGCGUGGAUGAAGAAGGUCUUCGGAUUGUAAAGUCCUUUCGACGGGGACGAUGAUGACGGUACCCGUAGAAGAAGCCCCGGCUAACUUCGUGCCAGCAGCCGCGGUAAUACGAAGGGGGCUAGCGUUGCUCGGAAUGACUGGGCGUAAAGGGCGCGUAGGCGGUUUGGUUAGUUAGGCGUGAAAUUCCUGGGCUUAACCUGGGGACUGCGUUUAAUACAGCCAGACUUGAGUGUGAAAGAGGGUUGUGGAAUUCCCAGUGUAGAGGUGAAAUUCGUAGAUAUUGGGAAGAACACCGGUGGCGAAGGCGGCAACCUGGUUCAUUACUGACGCUGAGGCGCGAAAGCGUGGGGAGCAAACA